CACUGCUCUGUCAGAGCGUUUAUGUGGCUGAAUUGUUUAAAGAAGAGACCUCUAGUAAAGAGUUGCCUGCUUCCCCACUGCUCAGACAUGAAGCCCACCCUCACUUCGGUGCUUGUGAUGAUAUUUACACUCAGAGGAACAAGAGCCCAGAUAGUAACUCAGCCCGAGGACCACCUCUCUGUGUCUGAAGGGGCGCCAGUGCAGCUGAAAUGCAACUACUCAUAUUCUGGGAGUCCUAGACUCUUCUGGUAUGUCCAGUACCCCAAACAAAGCCUCCAGUUACUCCUUAAACACAUCUCUGGAGAGAGUAUCAAAGGUUUCACGGCUGAAUUUAACAAAAGGGAGGCGUCCUUCCAUCUGAAGAAAACAUCUGCUCAGGAGGAAGACUCAGCCACGUACUACUGUGCUCUGAGUGGCACAGUAGCAG